rnacentral:rRNA from 1 species
GAAUAUUGCACAAUGGAGGAAACUCUGAUGCAGCGACGCCGCGUGAGUGAUGAAGGCCUUCGGGUUGUAAAGCUCUGUUCUUAGGGAAUAAAAAAAUGAAGGUACCUAAGAAGAAAGGACCGGCUAACUUCGUGCCAGCAGCCGCGGUACGACGAGGGGUCCAAGCGUUGUUCGGAAUCAUUUGGCGUAAAGCGGGUGUAGGCGGCCUUGCAAGUCAGAAGUGAAAGCCCUGGGCUCAACCCAGGAAGUGCUUUUGAAACGGCAGGGCUUGAGUGUGGGAGAGGAUAGUGGAAUUCCAGGUGUAGUGGUGAAAUACGUAGAGAUCUGGAGGAACACCGGUGGCGAAGGCGGCUAUCUGGCCCAACACUGACGCUCAGACCCGAAAGCGUGGGGAUCAAACAGG